UUUCCGUAAGGGGACCUGGGGAAAGGUCAUUA
rnacentral:rRNA from 1 species